AAUGGUUUCGACGGGGGCAAGUUGCUCCUGAGAAGCGAGUCGAGGGGUCCUGGGCCCGCGUUAAAAAACUGGGAAAAAUUAUAAACGCAGACGAUAAUUUCGUUUUAGCUGCCUAAUUAGUGCAGCUCGUCCUACUUGGGAGUCCCACGACCUAAGAUAGGGCGUCAAUUAGUGGGGAACCGAGCUCUACAAAGCUUUGAGUAGAGAACGGAACUUAUGAAGCUACUGAAUCUAGAAACCUGUUUAUCGGUGUCUAGAGGAGGGAAUGUUAAAAGGUAAACUGCACUCGGAGAUGCUCAGGGGUUACUGCUUUCGGACAGGGGUUCGAUUC
rnacentral:tmRNA from 1 species